AUUCUUUUUCUGAAUAAAUUUGUAAGAUCUGUUCUUAUCAGCUUAAUAUCUGAUAUGUUAGGCAAUGCCUAACUCAUAUAUUAAACUGAUUUUUGGACUUCGGCCAUGGGAUUGAAGCUUGCUUCGCCCUGGCCACGGGUUGUCUC
rnacentral:snRNA from 1 species